rnacentral:rRNA from 1 species
GGGAAGCCGGUAAGGGAUCAUUAAGAGUUCUAUAACUCCCAAACCCAUGUGAACAUACCAUACGUUGCCUCGGCAGGUCGCGCCUACCCCGUAGCGUCCUACCCUAUAGGACCUACCCGGUAGACGCGGGUAAGCCUGCCGGCGGCCCAAGAAACUCUGUUUAGUAUUGAAUUCUGAACCUAUAACUAAAUAAGUUAAAACUUUCAACAACGGAUCUCUUGGUUCUGGCAUCGAUGAAGAACGCAGCGAAAUGCGAUAAGUAAUGUGAAUUGCAGAAUUCAGUGAAUCAUCGAAUCUUUGAACGCACAUUGCGCCCAUUAGUAUUCUAGUGGGCAUGCCUGUUCGAGCGUCAUUUCAACCCUUAAGCCCUCGUUGCUUAGUGUUGGGAGCCUACGGUACCCGUAGCUCCUCAAAGUUAGUGGCGGAGUCGGUUCACACUUUAGACGUAGUAAUUUUAUCUCGCCUAUCAGUUGGACCGGUCCCCUGCCGUAAAACACCCCAAUUUCUAAAGGUUGACCUCGGAUCAGGUAGGAAUACCCGCUGAACUUAAGCAUAUCAAUAAGCGGAGGAAU